rnacentral:tRNA from 1 species
CUCUCGAAGACCCGCUGGUAAGGGUACACGCCUGUAGAGCGUGUUGCAGUAGGUUCGAAUCCUACUCGGGAGA